AUGCACUGUCUACCCUCAGAUAACGUUCCUUUGGCACGUUCUGGGGAACAGUGGCUUGACUCUCACUGUACUUCUUACUCCAUUUUCUCUCCAGUUUCUCUAAUUUUCACACUUUUGAAUGCCAGCCUUGCCAAGCUUGGCAUUAUCAAGAGGCUGUGGUUGAUAAAGCAGGUACAAGUAUAUGAGAUGGGAGGAUAUGUUUGAACUCAGGCACUGUUUUAGCAAAAUGUGUUCUGUCUCAGUCAGCACAGGAAAAAAAGCUUUUAACAUUCCCGUUAAGAAGACUCACAGGCUCCGCACACAUUAAAUAACUCUCACAAAACAACAUUUUAAUGAUUUACGUGUAAAUGAAUCAGAAACACAUGGACGACAUUUCUCUUGGAAUACACAAGGGUUUUAAAACUGAAGGAGAAAGAGCUUGGCAAAAUGCACACUGUGCUGGGAAGAGGGCCCCUGCCCAGUAAAGACAUUCCCUCAAUUCAUGCUGCCACGGAGUUUGCCCUCUCCUAAUUUAGGGCAUAUACUGGGAACUGCAGUCAUUUGUUCUGGGUACAGAGGGAAGAGCUUGGGCGAGAAAGCCAUCAGCUUCUCCUUGGAAAGUGUCACAGAGCAAUUAGGCCUCCUGGAAUAAUUUUCUAGCCAUGUUUCUUCAAGGCUGCCAAUGUUCAAUGGAAAGCAUUCGAGAUGUGUUCUAAGCCAAAGUUCUGCCAAUAUAUAGCAGAUCUGAUAUGUGCGCUUCCCUGGGAGUUAGCCAAGGCUCAGAGGAAAUCUGCAUAAAAACAGGAACUACGUGGCCCAGGAAUGAUCUGCAUGUGAUUCAGGACAGUUUUCUACUUGGUUACACUACAUAUUGUCUGAUGCUUUUGAUGAAUCUCCCUGAAGUGUCACUAAGAGAUCAUGGGUCAUCAGGGGUGGGAGGAAUGGAAGGGACAUUAGGCUGGAAACAGAACUGGGCUCAGUGACUAUAGGCCAGCUUGCAUGUGACCUUGGAAACUUCAGAUGAGUGGACUGGUCACGUGAUACAGCAAUGACAAAAACUUCAGUAUUGGCAUUCAUUCCAGCUGAUGGCAUUCCAGGAGCUUUUAAUGAAUUAAAGCCACAUUUGCCUGAAGAAGCCAGCGAAGUUACUAACUGGUUCAAAAACGAUUAUGUGCAUGAUGGGCAGUAUUGUUGCAGUUCAAUCACCAGUAUUGCUUCCACCAGAUUUGUGGUCUAUAUAUGUGUGCAUAUGGAAUAGAUUUCCACAGACCCACAACACGGAAGCAUGGCACAGAAGAUGGGAAAAAAUGGGGAAUACUCAUGUAGUUGUAUACUAAACCAUAGAAGAAUUUUGAAAAGAGCAGUGUCACAUGGAAAAUAAAUGUGAACAUAUUCUCCAAGGACAGCCAUGUCGUAAAAGAAAAAAAGCAGCUAUUUUUUGUGAUGUGAGACUUAAAAAUAUAGUUAAUGACUGUGAAAGUUGGCCAGCUCUUAUGGACUAUCUCCAUGCAAUUGCCCAUAAUCUAGCUCCAUAACUUUUUUAUUUGUUGAAUUUUCUUUUUAGUUUUUAGUUUUUAUUUUUAGUUUUUUUCACUAUUUGAAAUUGUCAGCAUUAUUUUUUUAUAAUUCGCCAUGCUACCUAUUUCAUCUUUGCAUCAUUUCCAAUACUGCAUGCAUCGUAUAAAGAGUUUUAGAGAGUCCUAAUUUGCUUUGUGCAUUUUUGCAAAUGUAACUCCAUGAAAGUGCAUUUUCAAAAUGUUGAACUUGUGUGUAAGCAGUAUGUGUGUGCAUAAAGACAUUAAAACUUCCUCGACAAAUGAAAAUGUAUCUUCUUUGUACAUCUGCUUUUAUGAAAGAUAAAAUUUCUCAAUGCCUUGGCUCUUUGGGCAACUGAUGUGGUGGUGAUAUGGUAGUGACUCAUCACGGUUUUUGAUCAAUCUUAUCAAAAGACUUAGAAGAGUCUAAGAAUCACAGCAUUUCAGAUGACUGCUGUAUAAAGCUGGGGGCACACAAUUACCAACCACAGUGUGAUAUACAUUUUUAUAUUUUGCUUUUUGAUUUAUUUAUUUAUGAAUAUGGUUCAUCUGCUCAUAACUGUUAUACCCAUGUGACUGUUGUUAGUAUAUCUGAGUGUUUCUGCUUGCAAAAAUAUGGUAUUAUUGUCCAUUUUAUUGUGUAAAGUAGCCUAUGAAGAGUUCUGUCAUGUUUUUGCAUGUUUCUUAAAUAAAUCCCCUUUAAAAAUGUAAGUAAAUAUUUUACAACGUUUUGAAAACUUUUUUUUUUUUUUAAGACGGAGUCUCGCUUUUUUUGUUGUUGCCCAGGCUGGAGUGCAGUGGCACAAUCUCGGCUCACUGCAACAUCCACCUCCUGGGUUCAAGCGAUUCUCCUGCCUCAGCCUCCUGAGUAGCUGGGAUUACAGGCAUCCGCCACCAUGCCUGGCUAAUUUUUGUAUUUUUAGUAGAGAUGGGGUUUCGCCAUGUUGGCCAGGCUGGUUUUGAACUCCUGGCCUCUGGUGAUCCGCCCACCUCGGCCUCCCAAAGUGCUGGGAUUACAGGCGUGAGCCACCACACCCGGCUGAAAAAGUUUUUUCUAAAAUAUUUUUGGAAUUUUGUUUUUCAGGAUUUUAACAUUGGGGAUGAUGGCAUUUGGGAUUAUGGUCAGCUCCCAUCUUGGACUUCUGGCCUCUAGAAUUGUGAGAAAAUAAAUAUCUGUGAUUUAAGCC
rnacentral:lncRNA from 1 species